rnacentral:sRNA from 1 species
GGGCUCCUUCCCAGGAGUUUGCAGUCCUUUCUGAGUUGCGACGGCUCCAGAAUGAAUGUCGUGGCUAUAACCUCCAACCUGACCAUGAUAUCCAGAGGUGGCUACAGGGGCUCCGGCCACUGACAGAGGCUCAGAGCCAUCGUGUAUCCUGUGAGGUGGAGCCACCUGGUUCCAGUGACCCUCCUGCCCCACGGGUGCUUCGGCCAACACUGGUCAUCUCGCAGUGGACAGAGUGAGAGAUUCACUGGCUGGGGGGUGGUUUCUUGGGACUUCCACUUUUCUUCUGAUCCUCCCAACCUCCUGCCACUGCAGGGUUCUGGGCUCUGUUGGGGUCCCUACCCCACUUGUGUCCUGUGACCGGCCCAGUAUCGGGGGAGAUGAGGCGCCUACAACUCCUGCUCCUCUGCUGACUCGGCUGGCCCAGCACAUGAAGUGGCCAUCUGUCUCGUCACUAGACUCUGCCCUGGAAAGCAGUCCAUCCCUGCACAGUCCAGCUGACCCCAGCCACCUCUCCCCACCAGCCUCCUCCCCUAGGCCUUCUCGAGGUCACCGCCGCUCAGCCUCCUGUGGCUCCCCGCUGAGUGGGGGUGCAGAAGAGGCCUCCGGGGGGACUGGAUAUGGGGGAGGGGGAUCUGGGCCAGGGGCCUCUGAUUGCCGCAUCAUCCGAGUCCAGAUGGAGCUGGGGGAAGAUGGCAGUGUCUAUAAGAGCAUUUUGGUGACAAGCCAGGACAAGGCUCCAAGUGUCAUCAGUCGUGUCCUUAAGAAAAACAAUCGUGACUCUGCAGUGGCUUCAGAGUAUGAGCUGGUACAGCUGCUACCAGGGGAGCGAGAGCUGACUAUCCCAGCCUCGGCUAACGUAUUCUACGCCAUGGAUGGAGCUUCACAUGAUUUCCUCCUGCGGCAGCGGCGAAGGUCCUCUACUGCUACACCUGGCGUCACCAGUGGCCCGUCUGCCUCAGGAACUCCUCCGAGUGAGGGAGGAGGGGGCUCCUUUCCCAGGAUCAAGGCCACAGGGAGGAAGAUUGCACGGGCACUGUU